rnacentral:sRNA from 1 species
AAAAGCGGAACUUCUAUUAAGACCGCCCACAUCCAGUGGGCAACGUAGAAGUCCUUUUUAUCCC